UACGUAGGGUGCGAGCGUUGUCCGGAAUUAUUGGGCGUAAAGAGCUCGUAGGUGGUUUGUUACGUCUGCUGUGAAAACCUGCAGCUUAACUGUGGGCUUGCGGUCGAUACGGGCAUCACUGGAGUUCGGCAGGGGAGACUGGAAUUCCUGGUGUAGCGGUGAAAUGCGCAGAUAUCAGGAGGAACACCGGUGGCGAAGGCGGGUUGCUGGGCUGAUACUGACGCUGAUGCGCGAAAGCCAGGGGAGCGAACGGG
rnacentral:rRNA from 1 species